UACGAAGGGGACUAGCGUUGUUCGGAAUCACUGGGCGUAAAGCGCACGUAGGCGGAAUUGUAAGUCAGGGGUGAAAUCCCGGGGCUCAACCUCGGAACUGCCUUUGAUACUGCGAUUCUCGAGUCCGAUAGAGGUGGGUGGAAUUCCUAGUGUAGAGGUGAAAUUCGUAGAUAUUAGGAAGAACACCGGUGGCGAAGGCGGCCCACUGGGUCGGUACUGACGCUGAGGUGCGAAAGCGUGGGGAGCAAACAGGAUUAGAAACCCUGGUAGU
rnacentral:rRNA from 1 species